ACUAAAUAAAUUUCUUUGUAGCAAUGGCGAGAUACAAAGAGUACGAUCAAUAAAGUAACCAGUACCAUUAACGCCCAGUUUAUUGAUGAGAGUCAAGUUAAACCACAGCGCCAAUUGGAUGAAAAUGCUACAACAACAGAGGGUCCUUACAGGAUAACUAGAAACGAACUUUAUCGUAUAAUCCGCCGAAACGUUAAAGGCAUUCAACGCCUUCUAAAGAUAGAAUUGCAAGAUGCACUAAGUCAACCGAAGCCAAGUUAUAAAAGCCUGCAUAAAAGUACAACAAGAAACACGAAAACGUAACCACUUUAGAUAGCAUUGAAAAUACGUGCCACUUGUUCUGUGAUAGUUUUUAAUAUUUUACGUAGAAAAGUGCAACAGUCGAAGAAAAGGCCACGUGAAAAGAAAAUAUUUAAAUAAAUAUAACCGUAGUCUUUAUUAAAUAAUUUUAUUUCAAGUCUGUAAAUACUUAUUUCUGUAUAUAUGUAUAAUAUAUCAAACCUAUAUAUUUUUUGUAAAUUGUUCUUGUAGUGUUAAGUAGAGUGGAUAAUGUGAAAGGAAUAAAAGUGUAGACGCACUGAUUAAAUCAAUUAACAUUU